CCUACGGGUGGCAGCAGUAGGGAAUUUUGCGCAAUGGGCGAAAGCCUGACGCAGCAACGCCGCGUGAUCGAGACGCCCUUCGGGGUGUAAAGAUCUGUUAGUGGGGACGAAACUUGACGGUACCCACAGAGGAAGCACCGGCUAACUCCGUGCCAGCAGCCGCGGUAAUACGGGGGGUGCAAGCGUUGUCCGGAAUGAUUGGGCGUAAAGAGUUCGUAGGCGGCACGUAAAGUCUGGUGUUAAAGGCAGGGGCUCAACUUCUGUACGGCACUGGAUACUGGCGAGCUAGAGUGCGGUAGAGGUAAAGGGAAUUCCUGGUGUAGCGGUGAAAUGCGUAGAUAUCAGGAGGAACAUCGGUGGCGUAAGCGCUUUACUGGGCCGUAAUUGACGCUGAGGAACGAAAGCGAGGGUAGCAAAUGGGAUUAGAUACCCUAGUAGUC
rnacentral:rRNA from 1 species